AUUACACAAGAAACAUGCACAACAUUCACAUGCUCUUUAGUGCCUUCUUUCAACCCCCGAUUUCUCUGUUUCCUCACCCCUAAAACAUGCACGCGCAGGCCCACACGCACAAACAGCACUUUGUUUCUUUUCACAUAAACACCAAACACAUCCUCCCUUCGCUCCCAUUCUCAGACGCGCAUGCAUACACAUGCUGAUUAAUGUCAGGUCACAGGGUGUGGAGUCUUGGCAAUCAAGCUGGUAAACAACACAGGACCAAUGCAGCGCUAUUUUCUAGAUUUCUGCGAAGUUCCUGAGCAUCCCGGGAAAACCGCAGCAAGUCCCGAAACAAAGAAAACAUUACUGUUUGUUUUCCUCCCACUCUUGAAAAGUUAACCCAGCGUUUAUUGCUUACUCAAGCGCACACAACUCCACUUAGGUUAAAAAGUGGAUAGAUAGUCAUGGAAGAUAGUGGAACACUUCUGCAACAAUACUUGCUAUGGCAGAAAACAGCAAAAAAACAAGUAACAUUGAAUGCAUCAACCAGAGACACUAUCAACCAACAACAAUGGAGGAGCUUGAAACAUAAAGAGACUAUUUGUAUUCAAGUGGAGACCUAGGGCAGCAAGAAAACCGAGACAGGAGUAGAAUAUUCGAGGGUUGUAAAGCACUGAAGAACAACGGCGGUUAGAGUCAGCUGGUAUGCUUGGAACGAGGUAGCUGCAUUAGUGAACAAUAACAAUGAAGAAGGGUUUCCUAUAUUCACUUCUCAGCCUCAGGAGACUAAUUGAAUCCAAGAGGCGACUAAGGGCAGGAAGAAAACAGAGCACUGCAGAAAAAGGAGAUGAGGAACAGGUGUGGUGAAAUUUGACCUCUGCAUUUGACCCAUCCCCUUGAUCACCCCCUGGGAAGUGAGGGAAGCAGUGGGCAGCGCACGAGAAUCAUUUUUGGUGAAUUAACCCCCAAUUCCAACCCUUGAUGCUGAGUGCCAAGCAGGGAGGCAAUGGGUCCCAUUUUUUUAUAGUUUUUGGUAUGACUCGGCCGGGGUUUUGAACUCCCAACCUACCGAUCUCAGGGCGGACACUCUAACCACUAGGCCACUGAGUAGGAAUCCAAGAGGCAACUAAGGGCAGGAAGAAAACAGAGCACUGCAGAACAAGGAGUUGAGGAACAGGUAGCAGGGGGACUGCAGAUGGAAAUUUGCUAUUUACCAGUAACCAGUAACGUGGUGGGAGUGGAGCUGGACUCUCUGGCUUUGGUGUCAUAGAGGAGAAGUCUAGCAAAACUCCUAGCCAUUAUGGACAACACCUCCCACCCACCACACUCGGACCUUGCAGAGAGAAUGAGCACGUUCAGUGGAAGGCUCAGACUCCCAAAAUGCAACACGGAACGACACAGGAGGUCCUUCAUACCGACAGCCAUCAGACUGUAUGAUGCAUGUUCCUUCUUGACUGUACUUAAAUGUAGAAUAUAUUUAUAUUAUUCAUAUAUUCUAUAUUAUUUAUAUCAUAUAUUAUCUAUUAUUAUUAUUGUUUAUUGUGAGCAAACUGUGGUGCUGAAUUUCCUACAGGGAUCAAUAAAGUACUUUCUAUUCUAUUUAGCUAUAA